UAGGGAAUUUUCCACAAUGGGCGAAAGCCUGAUGGAGCAACGCCGCGUGCAGGAGGAAGGCCUUCGGGUUGUAAACUGCUUUUAUCUGUGAAGAUUAUGACAGUAGCAGAAGAAUAAGGAUCGGCUAAUUCCGUGCCAGCAGCCGCGGUCAUACGGAAGAUCCAAGCGUUAUCCGGAAUUACUGGGCGUAAAGAGUUGCGUAGGUGGCAAAGUAAGCGAAACAUGAAAUCUUGUGGCUCAACCAUAAGUCUAUGUUUUGAACUGCUUAGCUUGAGCAUGAGAGAGGUAGAUGGAAUUUCUAGUGUAGGAGUGAAAUCCGUAGAUAUUAGAAGGAACACCGAUGGCGUAGGCAGUCUACUGGCUUAUUGCUGACACUAAGGCACGAAAGCGUGGGGAGCGAAC
rnacentral:rRNA from 1 species